rnacentral:rRNA from 1 species
AAAGGAAUUGACGGGGACCCGCACAAGCGGUGGAUGAUGUGGUUUAAUUCGAUGCAACGCGAAAAACCUUACCCACCUUUGACAUGUACGGAAGUUACCAGAGAUGGUUUCGUGCUCGAAAGAGAACCGUAACACAGGUGCUGCAUGGCUGUCGUCAGCUCGUGUCGUGAGAUGUUGGGUUAAGUCCCGCAACGAGCGCAACCCUUGUCAUUAGUUGCUACGAAAGGGCACUCUAAUGAGACUGCCGGUGACAAACCGGAGGAAGGUGGGGAUGACGUCAAGUCCUCAUGGCCCUUAUAGGUGGGGCUACACACGUCAUACAAUGGCUGGUACAGAGGGUUGCCAACCCGCGAGGGGGAGCUAAUCCCAUAAAACCAGUCGUAGUCCGGAUCGCAGUCUGCAACUCGACUGCGUGAAGUCGGAAUCGCUAGUAAUCGCGGAUCAGAAUGUCGCGGUGAAUACGUUCCCGGGUCUUGUACACACCGCCCGUCAC